GGGGAUGAUCGGUUUCGACAUCGUCUGUGAAGCUGCGAGAAGCGGGCCGAGGAUGAGGGGUUAUCUCGUAAACGACCUCCUCAAAAAACAGGUGCCGAUGCUAAGCGCACCGACUUCGCUCUCGCCGCCUAAGGCGUAGACCGAGUCCGUCAGUCCGGGUAUGUCCUCGCCCCGGAUCCUGGCGUCAUCUAGAGGACUUGCUGCGAACCUGAGUCUCAGGGGUUCGCGGGACUUUCACUGAGGCUGGGCUCGUCGACCUAGAUGCUCGUGGCAAAGGUCGGAGCCGAGUAGAACGCUCUCACGAGCUGCGCCCGGAGAAGGCGCAGGUCCUCAGCGAUGGACGGGGGUUCAAUUCCCCCCAUCUCCACCA
rnacentral:tmRNA from 1 species